rnacentral:rRNA from 1 species
GAUGAACGCUGGCGGCGUGCCUAAUACAUGCAAGUCGAGCGAACAGACGAGGAGCUUGCUCCUCUGAUGUUAGCGGCGGACGGGUGAGUAACACGUGGAUAACCUACCUAUAAGACUGGGAUAACUUCGGGAAACCGGAGCUAAUACCGGAUAACAUGUUGAACCGCAUGGUUCAACAGUGAAAGACGGUCUUGCUGUCACUUAUAGAUGGAUCCGCGCCGCAUUAGCUAGUUGGUAAGGUAACGGCUUACCAAGGCAACGAUGCGUAGCCGACCUGAGAGGGUGAUCGGCCACACUGGAACUGAGACACGGUCCAGACUCCUACGGGAGGCAGCAGUAGGGAAUCUUCCGCAAUGGGCGAAAGCCUGACGGAGCAACGCCGCGUGAGUGAAGAAGGUCUUCGGAUCGUAAAACUCUGUUAUUAGGGAAGAACAAAUGUGUAAGUAACUAUGCACGUCUUGACGGCACCUAAUCAGAAAGCCACGGCUAACUACGUG